rnacentral:rRNA from 1 species
GACGAACGCUGGCGGCGUGCUUAACACAUGCAAGUCGAACGGAAAGGCCCUGCUUUUGUGGGGUGCUCGAGUGGCGAACGGGUGAGUAACACGUGAGUAACCUGCCCUUGACUUUGGGAUAACUUCAGGAAACUGGGGCUAAUACCGGAUAGGAGCUCCUGCUGCAUGGUGGGGGUUGGAAAGUUUCGGCGGUUGGGGAUGGACUCGCGGCUUAUCAGCUUGUUGGUGGGGUAGUGGCUUACCAAGGCUUUGACGGGUAGCCGGCCUGAGAGGGUGACCGGCCACCUUGGGCCUGAGAUACGGCCCAGACUCCUACGUGAGGCAGCAGUGGGGAAUAUUGCACAGUGGGCGGAAGCCUGAUGCAGCAACGCCCCGUGCGGGAUGACGGCCUUCGGGUUGUAAACCGCUUUCGCCUGUGACGAAGCGUGAGUGACGGUAAUGGGUAAAGAAGCACCGGCUAACUACGUG